rnacentral:rRNA from 1 species
UACGGGGGGAGCAAGCGUUGUUCGGAUUUACUGGGCGUAAAGGCGCGUAGGCGGCCACCGCAAGUCGACUGUGAAAUCUCCGGGCUUAACCCGGAAAGGUCAGCCGAUACUGCGGGCUAGAGUGCAGAAGGGGCAACUGGAAUUCUCGGUGUAGCGGUGAAAUGCGUAGAUAUCGAGAGGAACACCUGCGGCGAAGGCGGGUGCUGGCUGACACUGACGCUGAUGCGCGAAAGCUAGGGAGCGAACGGG